UUUCCGUAGGUGAACCUGCGGAAGGAUCAUUCAUAAUAAAGUGUUUUAUGGCACUUUUUAAAAAUCCAGAUCCACUUUGUGUGCAAUGUUAGAUCUCGUCAAUCUUGGCGAGAUUUUUAUACAUCAACUCAUUCUUUAACUAAUUUGUAUGAAAAAUAUUAUGAAUACUUAAUUAAAAAUACAACUUUCAACAACGGAUCUCUUGGUUCUC
rnacentral:misc_RNA from 1 species